UACGUAGGCAGCGAGCGUUGUUCGGAGUUACUGGGCGUAAAGGGUGUGUAGGCGGUUGUUUAAGUUUGGUGUGAAAUCUCCCGGCUCAACUGGGAGGGUGCGCCGAAUACUGAAUGACUUGGAGUGCGGGAGAGGAGAGUGGAAUUCCUGGUGUAGCGGUGAAGUGCGUAGAUAUCAGGAGGAACACCGGUGGUGUAGACGGCUCUCUGGACCGUAACUGACGCUGAGACACGAAAGCGUGGGUAGCAAACAGG
rnacentral:rRNA from 1 species